UCUCAUUUUCUGGGUAAGUGCACUUAAUAUUUAUAGAUCUCUACAGUAUUCUUUGCAGGGGGUGAGACUCAGGUUAUGCUGGACGGAACAAGCCUUGGGGCAAAGUUUUAGGAGAAAGGGGCACAUUAUCGAAGAGAUAUGGACACUCUUCAGAGGAGGUUCUGGGGCUGGUUCACCUUCAGUUAAUUUCGUUCUCACAUCAGAAGAUAAGGAUGAUUGAAUGCUGGUGAAAACAAAGAUGUGACAGCAUACAAGGGUCUCAAACACCCACAGACC
rnacentral:lncRNA from 1 species